AGCAGCCGCGGUAAUUCCAGCUCCAAUAGCGUAUAUUAAAGUUGUUGCAGUUAAAAAGCUCGUAGUUGAAUUUCGGGAUCAAUACGUCGGUCGUGCUUCGGUACGUACUGGCGUCAUUGAUUUCUCCCUUCUGACGAACCAUGAUGUCAUUAACUUGGUGUCAUGGGAAAUCAGGACUGUUACUUUGAAAAAAUUAGAGUGUUUAAAGCAGGCUCACGCUUGAAUACAUUAGCAUGGAAUAAUGAAAUAGGACGUUCGAUCCUAUUUUGUUGGUUUUUAGGAUCAACGUAAUGAUUAAUAGGGAUAGUUGGGGGCAUUAGUAUUCAAUUGUCAGAGGUGAAAUUCUUGGAUUUAUGAAAGACGGACCACUGCGAAAGCAUUUGCCAAGGAUGUUUUCAUUAAUCAAGAACGAAAGUUGGGGGCUCGAAGACGAUCAGAUACCGUCCUAGUCUCAACCAUAAACGAUGCCGACUAGGGAUCGGCGGAUGUUGCUCUAAGGACUCCGCCAGCACCUUCUG
rnacentral:rRNA from 1 species